UGGCGGGUUAUUGAAAAUUUGUAAACAUAAGACGAUUAGUAAUUAUUGUAUGCACCAAGCGAGCUUCGUAUCUAGCAAGAGUGUCAAUAAUGAUGAAUUCCAAGAUUUAGCUACAUACAAAAUUCUCAAACUAUUAUUGACUCAGACUGAUCAAUAUCCAUUAAACAGCGUUCUUGACAUUCCUCCAUUGUGAAAUGUGCUUGAAGAAUUGACAUGUGUCUUGUCAAUGAGGUGUUCGAAACAUCUCCCCUUAUACAUUUGGUGGGGUGAUCUGACUUAUUGUGAUCAAAGACAUGUCUACUUGGAUUGCAUUUGUUAGACCUGAACAUCAUGCAUAUAUACAAUGACACUAUUACCACCUGUGUUAGUGUUGUUUGCGGAAAAUUCUUGACAUAUAUUCAAGAUGGACAUAUCAGUUAGCAUAUUAAACAAUGAACAGCAAGCAGAAAACCCUUUUUCAAAGCUGGGGUAACCAUGGUAACAGACAAUCUUCUCAAAAGCAGGCAUCAAAUACAAAAGCCUCCUUGCACACUUCAAGUGUUGGUGGUCAUGGUGAUGUGAUUGACCUGUGUGAUGAGGACCUUGAUGAAGAUGAUGCCCUGCUUAUUCAGGCUUUGGAUGAAAGCAUACAGACUGCAAACAUAAAUGGUUUUACCUGCGGUGAACAUGGUGACAAACCCAAUAUUUCAAGCAAGUAUCCACAGAGUAGCGUUCCUUUCUCAAAGGCCAAUACUUCAAUCAGAUCAUCAUCAUCAUCAUCAUCAUCAUCCAGAUUGUUCAACACAUGUCACAAGGCUACAGCAGUGCAGGGCAACAAUGAAUCAGUUGAAGAGGGAAACUUGUCUGUUGGAACAGAGAAAAUUGAUGUCCAUGUUCCACCCAGCUCUGUCUCACUGUCACACAUACCAGAUCUGCCAGGGUUUGACAAGCAAGCCGGCCAAUUGUGGAUCUACCCAACCAACUACCAAGUCCGAGACUACCAGUUCAACAUUGUCCAGCAGUGUCUGUACAACAAUACUCUGGUCACCUUGCCGACAGGCCUGGGGAAAACUUUCAUAGCUGCUGUUGUCAUGUACAACUAUUACCGAUGGUACCCACAGUGCAAGAUAGUAUUCAUGGCCCCAACCAAGCCCCUGGUAGCUCAACAGAUCCAUGCCUGUUAUAACAUUAUGGGCAUACCCCCAGAGGACACUGCUGAGAUGACAGGCAACAUGAACCCAGCAGAGAGGCGGAGGACAUGGAAGGAGAAACGUGUGUUCUUUCUCACCCCUCAAGUCAUAACCAAUGACCUGAGUCGGGGCACCUGCCCCGCUGACACUGUUAAGUGUCUAGUCAUUGAUGAGGCGCACAAGGCACUUGGAAACCAUGCUUAUUGUCAGGUUGUGAGGGAAUUGGUGAAAUAUACAAGGGAAUUUCGGGUUGUAGCUCUCAGUGCUACCCCUGGAAGUGAUCUCAAGGCUGUGCAGCAAGUCAUCACAAACCUGCUCCUGUCACACAUUGAACUGAGGACGGAACAGUGUAUUGACAUCAAGCCUUACACUCAUGAGAGGAAGGUGGAGAAGAUUGUGGUAGCACUUGGGGAAGAACUUUUAAUGAUACAGAAGAAGUACAUACAGGUGAUGAGUGUAGUGGUCAAGCGUUUGACCCAUCAGCAAGUUCUCUACAGCCAGCGGGAGGUGACAAGUCUCUCCAAGUUCUUUAUACUGAAAGCAAGGGAGGCAUUCCGACAAAACCCUCCUCCAAGUAUGCCUAGCCAUCAGUAUGGUGUGGUUGAGGGUGACUUUGCCCUGGCUCUCAGCCUCUACCAUGGUUAUGAACUGCUGCAACUGCAUGGUCUCCGGUCUCUCUACAACUUCCUGGAUGGAAUCAUCAACGGGGAUAAAGGUUAUGGUCGUACCAAAACAGAACUCAUGAAGAAUGGGAACUUCCUGGAAAUCAUGGACAUCCUUAAAACAAAGUAUGCUGCAGAUGACAGUUCAUGGAGCAGUACCCAGAAGAAGGCCAGCUAUGUGUCAGGUCACCCCAAGAUGAAGAAGCUGGAGCAGGUCGCCCUGGAACACUUCAAUACAUCACACCAGGCCACUCGUGUGAUGAUCUUCUCCCAGUACCGUGACAGUGUCCAGGAAAUCACAGACAUGUUGAACCUUCACAGACCCAUGAUAAUGGCCAUAAGCUUCAUAGGACAGUCAUCUACAGGGAAAUCAACCAAGGGAUUCACUCAGAAAGAACAGCUUAAAGUAAUGAAAGCGUUUCGAGAAGGUGGAUACAACACUUUAGUGUCCACAUGUGUUGGUGAAGAAGGCCUUGACAUCGGGGAUGUGGACUUGAUUAUCUGCUUCGAUGCACACAAGUCUCCAAUCCGCCUGGUGCAGAGAAUGGGGCGUACAGGGAGGAAGAGACAAGGGCGCAUAGUUAUGCUGGUCACUGCAGGCAAGGAGGAACAGGUUUACAACCAGAGCCAGUACUCUAAGCGUAGUAUUCACAAAGGCAUCCUUAAUGGAGCACGAUCUUUGCAUCUGUACCCAAAUAAUCCCCGAAUGCUGCCUGAUGGCCUUGCUCCAGCAUGUCACAAGAUGUUCAUCACUGUCAAGGAUGUUGCCCGCUUGAAUCCAGUCCCCAAGGACCCAGGAGAAACCCAGCAGCGGAAGCUCCUGACAGGCAAGACUGGAACACGUACAGGGCGGAAGUUGCUUCCCAAGAGCGAGGAAGCCACAAUAACAGAAGAGGAGUACAGUGAACUGAAGGCGUUUCUGGUGUCCCAUUUCAAGUGUCCACCGCCACGUCCCACACUCCUCUAUCUGGGCAGCCAGUUGCAAAAGGAAACUGAAGGAGAGAAUACAUUAUCUCUGACUGAGUGGACGUUAUGGCAAAACCGUCUGCAGGACACACAAUUUGUUGAUCACUCGAGGCGCAGUGAGCACCUAGUGGAACUAAUCGAGUUCCUCCAACUACAGGAAACAUUGCCUGGAAAUGAGGACCAUUAUGGUGUUGAGAUGGAGAUGUAUCUGAAGCGUGAGGAUGUGCUGCAGCCAGGGGAGAAAGAUGACUCGGAACAGGGAGGGGGCAUCCUCAGGUUCUGUACCACAAGUGGGCAUCAGAAGCACCCAACAAGAGGGAAGCCGGCUGGGUUGACUGCCAGGAGGACAGUCGGGGGGACUGAGAUACUACCAGUCAUUGAGGACUGGGAAGGGGAGAGGGAGGAUAGUGAGGGGGAGCUGCCAGAGUGUCAUACCACUGGCAUGGUUGUACAGGGAGCAGACAAGCAAGAACAGUAUGUAAUCAAAAGUAUUUCUCCACAACAUGCUAAAGCAAAGAACAAUAACAAAAUUGAAUUCCAUAAAGAUAAAAUGAAGCAGGAUCUAAACAUUAAAAGAACAAAAAGCAAGAAAUUUGUGAGGGAAGGAAGCUUAAUCAAGCCUAUCAUGCUUGAUGAGGGUGACUUUGAAGAAGACGCUCCAGUUGCAGUGAUAGAUAUGAAACAAGACGAAGAUUCCUUACAUUGUGAUGAGUGGAGUAUGGAUUUAAAUCUUGGUCUAGAGAGGGAAAACUUACAUGUAACUCAUACAGAAUCUUUAGAUGUGAACAUCUCUGGAGAUCAACAAGUCAAUUCCUUUAUAUUACAGCAACCUACUGAUGUGGUUUCUCAGGGUAGUGUGUCCAAUUGCCCAUUAAAGCUAGGAACAUUCAUGAUUAGAACAGCCCCACCCUUGCAGGUGGUUGACAUGGUAUUCAGUGAUCUGAGAAAUGAGGCUGUGUUACCUACGUUAGAUCUUAAACAGCUUGUUUGCGAGUGGUAUGAGGAAAGUUAUGGACCAGCUGGGCUGGUGUAUGUGACUUCCCGGGAGAAGCAACAUGAAAUUACUUUUGGCACAAAUCAAGAAAAGGCCAGACUUUGUGAAGGUAGUGCACUGUGCAGUAGUUUGAGUGCUACCACGGGUGACAGGGCAAAUGUGUUGCAGUCUGCUAAUCAGGGCAUUGCAGGUAUCAGUGACCAAUCCGGUCCAGACUCAGAUAUACAUACAUUCACUUGGAUGAAACCAGCACCAUCAGUGCCUGAAAGCGACACAGCAAAGAAAAAUCUGUCAGUGUUAAAUCUAAAUAUUAUGAAAAACAUACCCUCUGGUACUGAAACCUUUCCUUCACAAGGACCAGAAAAAACAAUUCUUGCAACAUGUGAUAAAGCUUGUGGUGACAUCAUAGACCUUGGUGUAAGUAUGAACAGAAGUGUACAUUUCAGGGAGAGUAUUAUGGAAAUUGAUGACCAUAGGAUUAUCAGAAGUGAUAAGCCUAACAAACAGGAGCAAGACAUGAACAGUUUACAUAAUAUGUACACUGAUUGUACAUCAAAAGAAACUGGGUCACAACAUUCAUAUUUUGAAGAUGACAUAAUGAACAACAAGUACCCAGAUGUUUCCACACCCCAAAUAUUACAUAUAGCCAGAUCCCCUCACCCAGAGGUUCUCACUUUCACCCAGGCCCUGCUGUGUGUGCAGAGUAGUGAGGAACACCCACAGGACCAAGGGCAGCUUGUGGUGGAAGACUUCGAACAGGAAGAACACCCACAGGACCAAGGGCAGCUUGUGGUGGAAGACUUCGAACAGGAAGAACACCCACAGGACCAAGGGCAGCUUGUGGUGGAAGACUUCGAACAGGAAGAACACCCACAGGACCAAGGGCAGCUUGUGGUGGAAGACUUCGAACAGGAAGAACACCCACAGGACCAAGGGCAGCUUGUGGUGGAAGACUUCGAACAGGAAGAACACCCACAGGACCAAGGGCAGCUUGUGGUGGAAGACUUCGAACAGGAAGAACACCCACAGGACCAAGGGCAGCUUGUGGUGGAAGACUUCGAACAGGAAGAACACCCACAGGACCAAGGGCAGCUUGUGGUGGAAGACUUCGAACAGGAAGAACACCCACAGGACCAAGGGCAGCUUGUGGUGGAAGACUUCGAACAGGAAGAACACCCACAGGACCAAGGGCAGCUUGUGGUGGAAGACUUCGAACAGGAGGAACACCCACAGGACCAAGGGCAGCUUGUGGUGGAAGACUUCGAACAGGAAGAACACCCACAGGACCAAGGGCAGCUUGUGGUGGAAGACUUCGAACAGGAAGAACACCCACAGGACCAAGGGCAGCUUGUGGUGGAAGACUUAAAACAGGAGACAGAUGAUAUUGAUCAUUUUAUGCCAAGCUUUAAUCUCUUUGAUGAUGCUACAGAUCAUGACGAUGGGUACCAGCAUGAACAGCAAACGUACCUAGGUUCUUCCUCAUCUGAUAUUGUGAAGCAUUCAUUCUCUGAGAUAAAGAUGAACCGAGAGCCUGUGACAUUUGUUGAAGGUUCACAUAUCGAGUCUGCUCCAGGAAUGGUGUAUAGUGAAAAGCAACAACAUUCAAAAGUUACUUAUGUGACGGCAGCUACUCAACCUCACUCAGAUGACAAUGGGUGCGAUUUUGACUUCCCACAUUUUGACCUUGAAUUUGACUUUGAUGAUGAUAUCAUACCGCCAUCCCCUAUGGCAGCUCAAACAUUUUCUCAGAUGUCCCUAAGUCGUUCUCAAAUUAACAUCACAAGUCGAAAAAAAUUAAACUUCAAGGAAACUGAUGAUUUAGUUUCAGGGGAGAGAGAUGAGGAUGUGACAACCAUGGUAUGUGGGGUUGUUGGGAAGACAUCAAAUGAGCCUCAGCAUAUGUCCUUGGACAAUCCACUGGCUGAUGAUCUAGGCACUGUAAACUUGACUAACAGUCCAGAAGCAGCUGCACUAACUGAGGAAAGAAAUAUACAUCAAACCUCUGCUUCAAAAGCUGACAUGAUAUCUUCCUCAGUUGUGUUUGUCAAGGCAGAUCGAGGAGAGGAUCUGACUCCCAUGCCUAGAGCCCCAUUCCUCUACAGUCCUUUGUCAAGCCAUGCCCGAAGCAGCACUCCUAAGGCUGGCGUGUCCAAGAUGUCCUCAUGCAUCUCAUAUCUGGCUAAAGUUGCUACCCCAGUAAUGAACAAAGUCUCCUCCAUGGUUAGGACUGCUAGUGGCGGUAUGCCUGACAGUCUACAUUCUACAUUGGCACAAACAAACCAGUUGUCUAAUAGUCCCAGCGCUUCCACACCCAGCGGUCCACAGGAAGCUUGUGGGGCUGAGCACACUGAAGUUGAGGAGGAGAGUUUCCGUUUAGUUAGGAAAAGGAAGGUGGCAGCCAUUCUGGAGGAUACUGGAGAUUCCUUCUCUUUCCAACAUGGACAGGAAAGUAGAGAUGUGAAGGUCCUGUCCUUCAAGACUCCAUCUCGGCCUGCUGCCAGAAAGAAGCAGAAGAUGAAGCAGUUAGAUUUCUCCAGUGAUGAGGAGAAUGAAUGUGGCCUCAGCUCCAGCUCCAGCAAGUCCUGGAGUAGAGCAUCUCAACCCCAUCAUAGCAGCAGUCAUACCAAUGAUGAGGAUGAUUUCCAGCUGAGCCAAGAUACUGGUGACAACAAAGUGGUGAAUGCAUCAAAGAAGAAAAGGAAAGAACGAAAAACAAUAAAGACAAGACAGGGCCAUUGCUUUCUGGAUGAGGAGGCCAUACUGUCUGGCAGUGAUGCAUCAUCCGAUGAGGACUGGGACAGCAAUGAUGAAUGUCUGGAGGCCAGUUUUGUUAAUGACGACACUCAGAUGUCUCAAGAUGAUGUUGCCAAAUGAUUGUGGUUUAAAUGAGAAGAUAGUGAUACUAGUUGACUCAAGAGAAAUCAGUGGGGCACAGGAUAUAGUGUCAAACUUGAGAUUACAGCAUGGUGCAACAGUGCUAGCCAGACAGCUGGGUGCCUGUGACUACAUCAUCAGCAACAGAACUGCUGUUGAUCGCAGACAACUCUCA
rnacentral:misc_RNA from 1 species